GAAAGAGACAAAAACUCAGCCAUUUUCCCUUCCUCCUUCGUGCAGCCCGUCCACCAUGAGAGGAAAAAGAAAGUUUUGAGUGAAAAAUUUCACAAAAUCAUAUUUUGAGUUUUAGACAUGCAAAUCAAGUGCUUCCAAAGCCUAACUCAAAAGAAAUUUCGAGAGGAAUCCAUUGGUACCAAUAUUUUGAAGUGGGGUUCACGGUAGAGAGAGUUCCUCUUCCUCAAAGAUUUCGAAUUUCUUGAGAAAAAUGGGAGCUUGAGUCCAUUUUCCCCUCCAUUGUUGAUCCAUUGUGGUUUGAGCCUAGAGAUAUUGAAUUGGAAGAUCAAGUUGUGGAAGGAGGUGACUAGCUUGCUUGUGUUACAAGUAAGCCUUGUGUGGGAACUUCAAGAGGGACCAAGCCUCAAGAGUAUAUCAUGCGGAGGGACCCAAGCCUCCAUAAGGGACUCAAGCCUUAAGUGCAUGAAAUUAUUAGGGAUUCAAGCCUUUGGAUUAUCAUGUUGGAACUUUCGGGGGGACCCAAGCCUUCAGGAGAUUCUAUUUAGACUAUCCACUGGAGGACCCAAGCUCUUGGAAGUUACAUGUGUAUGAUGAUAUGUAUAUAUGAUGUUUUGUAUCUGACCUCUCAUGUAGGAAGUUGACUCAUGGGUGGAGACUACUCUAUAAACCCUAAGUUUACUGAGAUAGUAAUCUCACCCCGUUUGGGGACAUGUUUUCGGUGUGCCAGAGCAGGAGAGUCCUCCCAAAGCAAGAACCCUGUCCAGGGCUAGAGGACUCAGUUGGGUUGUGAUGUCGUACUUUUUAGAUUGUACAUCUAUUACUUUGGGUCAUGAUAUAUGACCACUACAGUUGUAUAUGGUCUGUACUAUUUUGAGAUGUUUGUUCAUACAUGGUGUAUGUAUAUUUGGUAGUUCAGGCAUAUAUGUAUGUAUUUAUUCAUUGAGAUGCAUAUUUUAGUAGCAUGUAUAAUUAUUUAUACUGUCAAGUUAGAUAAGAUGUGUAUUGGCACGGAGCCAAUAGUUGAUUGAAUCUGUGGAUGGAUUCUAGGUUCGAUGA